AGACACAGCUUGUCAGCUGGUAACGGAAAUCGGCAAGACGUGCGGUAUAGGCUUAAUACCUUCCGUUGUACUCUCUGCAAGCGCCUUAGCUUUGCUGAAAAAGAGGCCUGCAGUAAUGAGAUUCCUCACCGAGACGUGGAGACAGGAUGAGGAGGAGGGGAACCCCCUCCACAGAUGUGGGUCCCGGGAGUCUCUCUCUCCUACCCCCUCUCGCGAACCUCGCCCUUCCCCCCAACGGUCUAGCUGCGUUGACGGGGGACUAAACACUGAAGUUCUAUUUAUAGUGACCUGUUUGCCCCGAUAAUUUUCCAUUUUUACGUAUAGAUUUUGCCUGGAGAUUACAUCGCACUAAACUGGUGGCCGCGGAAAUAUAAAUUGCUCUUAUCGUAAAAAUGGAAAAUGACCAGCUGAACACUUUAAAGAUCGAAAUUGCAGUUAGAGGAAAUGCUUUACAAUGCAUCGACAAACAGUUUCCCGUACUUUGUGUGUAAGAGUGGGUUCAUAUGUCAUGUGUUAAGACACUUGACACCACCAAUAUCAAGCGAUGACGAAAGAGUACCA